GUAGCGCCACUGACGCUGAUGCUCGAAAGCGUGGGUAUCGAACAGGAUUAGAUACCCUGGUAGUCCACGCGGUAAACGAUGGAUGCUCGCUGUGUGCCUAUGAGGUACGUGGCCAAGGGAAACCAUUAAGCAUCCCACCUGGGGAGUACGCCGGCAACGGUGAAACUCAAAGGAAUUGACGGGGGCCCGCACAAGCGGAGGAACAUGUGGUUUAAUUCGAUGAUACGCGAGGAACCUUACCCGGGCUUGAAUUGCAGAUGAAGGAUCCAGAGAUGGUGACGCCCUUCGGGGCAUCUGUGAAGGUGCUGCAUGGUUGUCGUCAGCUCGUGCCGUGAGGUGUCGGCUCAAGUGCCAUAACGAGCGCAACCCCUCUCUUCAGUUGCCAUCAGGUUAAGCUGGGCACUCUGGAGACACUGCCACCGUAAGGUGUGAGGAGGGUGGGGAUGACGUCAAAUCAGCACGGCCCUUACGUCCGGGGCUACACACGUGUUACAAUGGGUGGUACAGAGAGUUGGGUGCCCGCAAGGUCACUCUAAUCAAUAAAUCCAUCCUCAGUUCGGACUGGGGUCUGCAACCCGACCCCACGAAGCUGGAUCGCUA
rnacentral:rRNA from 1 species